rnacentral:lncRNA from 1 species
UUGGGAAUAGAUCACUCUUAACUGCAGGCUUGGGUUCUCUCUUAACUGAUGUAUUUCACCAGAAAAUAUGUAAAGUUCAACUUCAAAUUGACAAAAUUUUAAAACUAUGUGAUUAGCAGCUGGGCGCAGUGGCUCACACCUGUAAUCCCCGCACUUUGGGAGGCCCAGGUGGGCAGAUCACCUGAGGUCAGGAGUUCCAGACCAGCCUGGCCAACAUGGUGAAACCCUGUCUCUACUAAAAAUACAAAAAUUAGCUGGACAUGGUGGCGGGCACCUGUAGUCCUAGCACUUUGGGAGGCCGAGAGGGGUGGAUCACCUGAGGUCAGGAGUUCGAGACCAUCCUGGCCAACAUGGUGAAACCCCAUCUCUGCUAAAAAUACAAAAAUUAGCUGGGCGUAGUGGCACGCGCCUGCAAUCCCAGCUACUCGGGAGGCUGAGGCAGGAGAAUAGCUUGAACCUGGGAGGAGGAGGUUGCAGUGAUCCGAUAUCGCGCCACUGCACUCCAGCCUAGUGACAGAGCGAGACUCCAUCUCAAAAAAAAAAAAAAAAAGUAACCGGCCUGGUGGCGGGUGCCUGUAAUCCCAGCUACUCGGGGAGCUGAGACAGGAGUAUCAGAGAAUCGCUUGAACCCAGGAGGCAGAGGUUGCGGCGAGCCAAGAUCACGCCACUGCACUCCAGCCUGGUGACAGAAAAAAUAAAAAUACAAAAAUAAAAACUAUGUGAUUAGCAUUUUCUUCCGCAGGAGACACAAAAUAGAAGCAUUCCUGUUUAGAAAUCUUAGCCAUAACUAUUCUUUGUAAACGCUUAACCAGACCAUUUCACUCAGGUGUACCUACAACAUGUUAGCUUCAUUUGCAAAUUCCCUGAAGGAAUUAAAGACCACAAAAAUAGAAUCCUUUAACAGAUGCAGCUCUUUAUUUUAAAAAUCAGUAUAAUCAUAGUCCACCUGAUUCGAAAUGCAUUCUGUGGAAAUUCAAUGUUACUUAAGUAAACAGCUAGUGGAACAGUAAUAAUUAUAGCUACAGGCAUUUAUGGAGCACCUAUCCCGUGCCAGGCACUGUCAGAUGUCCUUUAAAUACCUGAUCUCAAUUAACCCUCACCACAACCAAGAAUGAUUAAUUCUCCAAGGUCACAGUGCUGAUAAGAGGAAUUUAAGCCCAGAUUCCUUUUACUACAAAGCUUGAAGCUCUUUCCCCUGUUUGCCACAACAGCUUUCAUCCUAGGCAAAGUGGCCAGGACCCGAGCAUGGUUUCCACCUGCUGUUGUAGCCGUGCUCUCCCACCAGAUGACGCAAUCACCAGGUUAGACUUGAUCUCGAGGGAACCAGAGGAGGUUGUAAUUCACUACACCCACAAACAGAUUUAACUGAGCAAAUUACUCAACAGCCAGAGUUGAGGUAACUACAAAGCUGUGAUGAAGGGCUCCCAUUGUAAAAAUUCAAAUAAUUUUUUAAAACACAAGAAUACUUAUUAAAUGCCUAUUCUGUUUCCAGCAUUCUUUUAGGAACUGAAGAAGACAUUGGAUGGACUAUAUAAACAUUCAGCACAGAAGGAAAAUAUAAAUAACAUUUAUUCACCAUUGUUCUAGAAACAAAGCUACCUGUGUGUUCAGAACACAACACAGCAGUCCUGAAAUAGUAAUUGAAUCAGUAUUAUGAAAAUAAAUUACUCCAAAUACUUUUUCUAGUUCUCUCAGGCACAUGCAUUUCUCUAAUAUUGGAACUGCUGGUCAUUAAAGUAUGCAUGUUUUGGACUUUCUUGAUAAUACUGUUUUCCAAGGUAGUCAUAUGAAUUUAUAUCUGUACCAGCCAUCUAUGAAAGUCCCUACUGUUCAACAUCCAACUUUAAUUUAGGUAUACAGUGUUCUGGCACUGUGGCUGAAAUGUGCAUUUCCUUCAUUAACAUGGUUGAACACCUUUUCAUGUUUAUUAGACAUUUGGAUUUCUCCUUUUCUGAAGUGGCUGUUCAAGACUUUUGCCCAUUAUUCUAUUAGUGCCUGUAGCAUCUUGUUUAAGAAAUGUUUCUCUAUACUAAGGUCAUGAGUAUCUUCCUAUAUUAAUUCUAAAAGUGUUAUUGUUUUGCCUGCCUUUCUGCCAUGCCUCCAGGUCAUAAAUCAAGUGUCUGGCUAUGCAUAAUACUGUUUCUGGACUCCAUAUGGUGUUCUAUUGGUCCAUCAUUAUUAGCCUACCCAGUGCCAAUAUUACACUAUCUUUUUUUUUGAGAUGGAAUCUCGUUGUGUCGCCCAGGCUGGAGUGCAGUGGUGCGAUCUCGGAUCACUGCAAGCUCUGCCUCCUGGGUUCACACCAUUCUCCUGCCUCAGCCUCCCGAGUAGCUGGAACUACAGGCACCCGCCACCACACCUGGCUAACUUUUUGUAUUUUUAGUAGAGACGGGGUUUCACCAUGUUAGCCAGGAUGGUCUUGAUCUCCUGACCUCGUGAUCCACCCGCCUCGGCCUCCCAAAGUGCUGGGAUUACAGGCGUGAGCCACCGCGCCUGGCCCAACACUAUCUUAAUUAUUAUAACUCUUCUUGAUCUCUAGCAGAGGUUUUCCUAACUUUUCUUUUUCAAAGUGUUUUGCCUUUUCUUGGGCCUUGGCAAAUGUUUUAGAAUCAGCUUGUCUAAUUUUUUUAAAUGUGGGAUUACAUUAGAUCUAUAAAUCAGUUUCCAGAAAAUUGACACAUUUACAAUAUUGAAUCUUCCACUCCUUGAGCCACUGUGCUCUUCAUUUAUUUAGGUUUUAUUUAAAGCCACUCAAUAAAGUUUUAGAAUUUUCUAUAUCUGUUAUAGUUUAUAACCAUUUAAAACCAUGAAUCUGAAAAAAAUAUAUUUUGUAAAUGAUGUAUAAGUUUUUGGUGAGAUACCUAGAGCUUGGGAUAAGUAUAUAUAAGUAUGAAAAUAAACUGGGGCUGGGUGCAGUGGCUCACACCUGUAAUCCCAGCACUUUGGGAGGCCGAGGCGGGUGAAUCACUUCAGCCCAGGAGUUCGAGACCAGCC